AUUGAACGCUGGCGGGAGGCCUAACACAUGCAAGUCGAACGAGUGGCGGACGGGUGAGUAAUGUCUGGGAAACUGCCUGAUGGAGGGGGAUAACUACUGGAAACGGUAGCUAAUACCGCAUACCAUCGGAUGUGCCGAGAUGGGAUUAGCUAGUAGGUGGGGUAAAGGCUCACCUAGGCGACGAUCCCUAGCUGGUCUGAGAGGAUGACCAGCCACACUGGAACUGAGACACGGUCCAGACUCCUACGGUAGGCAGCAGUGGGGAAUAUUGCACAAUGGGCGAAACCCUGAUGCAGCCAUGCCGCGUGUAUGAAGAAGGCCUUCGGGUUGUAAAGUACUUUCAGCGGGGAGGCGUUACCCGCAGAAUAAGCACCGGCUAACUCCGUGCCAGCAGCCGCGGUAAUAC
rnacentral:rRNA from 1 species